UUCUUUCGUAGAUGAAAAUUAGCACAUAUGCUACACAUUAGAAAACACGCCUCUUUACUCUUCUUUCCUAUAUGAAAAAUAUACUGAAGAUCGAAGAGGGAAAGCUGAAGAACAAAAGAGAUGAGCUGAAAAAUGGAAGAGCUGAGCUGAUUUUCUUCUCUAAAACCCAAUUUUCUCGAAUAUAUGAAGAGCUAAUGCCGAAGAAGUAGGGAUCGAUCGAUGAACUGAAGAUUGAAGAACCGAAGAUUGGAAGCUGAAGAACCGAUUUCGUCAAGCCUGGCAGUUUGAAAUUUUGUAGGUGAUGCCCCUUGCGUUGAUGGACAGCUUGCCGUUGCUAGGGCAUUUGGAGACAAGAGAUUGAAGAGACAUCUUAGUUCAUACCCAUAUGUGGCAAUUGAGCUGAUAGAUAACGACUUAGAUCUCAUUAUUCUCGCAAGCGAUGGUCAGUGGAAGGUAAGAUGUAUUCAUUUUAAUUAGAGCUAGAAUAUCUUGAGGAGGAUGUUGUAUUUGCUCAUAUCGAACAUUUGAUUCGCGUAUUUAUAGGUAAUGUCCAUCCAAGAGGUAGUGGACUGCAUUAAGAACGUGUAUUCGCUCUAUCACAUUCUGUUAGAUGAUUUUUGUAUAAGUGUUAACCGGAUACUAAGUAAAAGGGAAAAAGGUCAGUUUUGUGGACCAAACAGAAAUAAAAUCAGAUAGAAGCUUCAGCUAAGGAAAAAAGAACUAUAGGCAUAUUCCAUACUGUAUUUGAAUAUUUUCUAUGACUAGUUUUGUUUGCAAAAGAUAAUGAUUGAGAAAUAUAGCAAAUUUCUUAUGUAAUGUUUCAAUGUGAUUUACAUCAUUGUUUAUCUAUAAUCAUACUUGAACAUACAAACAAAUGUGGCAGAAACCUGGUCAAGACACAAUAAGCAACUUCCAGAUCUAAUCAACAUAAUGAAGUGUUCCAUUGCUAAUUGUGUUUAGUAAUGUCUGCACAUGUAGUAAAUUCUGUUCAUAAACUGCAAUCUCGUGCUUGUUUCAUUGUUCGUUUUGGAACAUAUUCCUAUUUCAUGGGAAAUUUUACGGCACAAGUUCAGUAAUUUCUAUCCAUAUGCCAAGUUAAAAGAACUAGUCUUUCCAUUAUAUUCACCGACAGUGUAGUGUAAAUAAAGAAGCUUUAACAAGUAGUACAAAACCAAUAUAUAAAUGUGAAGCUCUCUCCAAAACCAAUCACGCAUCAACAUCUGCAAUAAUUUGAAGAAGUCUUAUGAACUAGAUUGAUUUCCAACUUGAUGUUUUAGUUGUUUCUACCUAUCCCCAACGUUUGAUCGAUAGGCUCCUUGAAUCAAUGUAAGUGUCUUCUUCUUUUCUUGUAAUUAUCCUUCCCUUUGUGAUCUUGUUUUUUCUUGCAUAGGCAUUGGGAAAGGCCUAGAUUCAGCUCCAAUCUUUUAGGAAUCAUUCUGAGUUUUUCCUCUUUUUACAUAUCAAGGUUUUAUCUUGUUGCGACUGAGUCUCUACGUGAAACUACAGGUUAAUUGUUGCUUAUUGUGUUCCAAUUUUACCUUCUAGGCUCUCUUUUUUGUUUACUCUUUCAUUUUUAACAGUAAAUUACCUUUAAUUAAAAACAUAUAUUUGGUACCUAAGCUUCUUGGACAAACUGAUUAUUCAAUAAUAAAUUAUCAUUCCUUUAUAUAAUGUUACUUCUACUUUUUCGUGCCACUGUAUUUGAAUCUUGCAGUAAGAAUUUACGGAAUACGCUUUUAUUGGUCAAAGUGUACCUUAUUCUUGUUAUUUCAGCCGGGGCAUGAGUCCAGUAUUUAGUUUAACUUAGAAAACUUCUUCAUUGCUACCAUAUUGUCUUUCAAAAUAUCAUUUUGUAAGUUUAUCUUAUGUUGCUUAAUAUUGUCUUGUUAUUGUUUUUAAGUUUUUAUCUUUCUCAUGAAUGAAAACAAUUGUCCUUGAAUUUUUAAAAGUUUACACGAGAAUUGAAUGGUCCAUGACUAGUUAUCUCAUUGUUUCAUCUAUAACCCUGCAGAUUCCUAGGAUUGUUUGCUCUUAGUUUGUAUUAUAUUGUUUUCUCAGCUUGCAAGAUUAGUGCGGUGGUUCUUAUUUAGCUAUUCUGGGUAUAAGCUACUAACUAGUUAUGUUGAAAUGAUUUUUUAAAACAUGGAAUUUUUUAACGGGAAAUAUAUCAUGAAGAUGGACAACAAACAUUCUGGUUGAAACUCUUAUAUGUGUUGCAUCUGAUGGUCAAAUUAUGUAAGGUGUUGCCUUCUAGUGUUACAAAAUCUUUUUUCUACCUCUUUACACCAUUUACUCUCUCUUUCUAAGCAUGCAGCUUUCCAUCAGGCAUCGUACACUAUAUGCAGGCAGGCUAAUGCUUUUUCAUUACAAGAUUCAACAUGUUUUCUGAAAGUUGCAAAUAAAGUGUCUAUACAAGGCACUAAUGCAGAUUCCACCAAAAACGACCACAAGGAAAAAACAUCAUUAAGAUAAAGAUAUCUUUCUGGCUGAAAGACCAGGUAAGUCACUAUUUUGGAGGGCUUACAAUGUUCCAAACUUCAUUAGAAUCGGGAAAGUUCAGCUAUGUCGCUGGAGGGUGUGUUCCCUAUCAGAGGAGCUUAGAAACGUAAAUGUAAAUGAACUGUCUUUGUUUUGUUUUGUUUUGAAAAUGAAGUACCUAUGUAAGGAACAAAUGGAGAUUCUACUGAAAAGGACAAGGAAAAAAACAUUUUUGAAAAAUCUCAGUAACGAAAAAGCUUCUUUGAAAAUGGCCAGUAACGAAAAGCAAGUAGGUAUCUGCAAUAAAAAUAUGCUACUGGGAAAAGGAAGAGCAAAGAACAGGUAUAUUUUAUCAUUUACUUAACUAAAGGAGUAAAAUUCUUAACUUUCUCAUACACCUUCCACUAUACUUGGUUCCUGUACAAUUGUUUUCAGCAGACUAGAAAUCGAGUGCAGAUGACUGAGGAUGACUUGAUUAUGCAUUUCUUUCAUUUCUUCCGGUUGUGGUCUGGUUCUGUUUCACACUACUGUUGGUGCUAUGCCUGUUUAAGGUAUGAGAAAAUCAUUAAGUAAUAUGUUCUUUUAUUAGCAAAUCAGCUGGUGGAAUUGGCAUCUGUGUGCUCAACAAACGUGUCACUCGGAACGAAAUAUCAAAUGAGAUUGUUUCUUUAUAUCCUGCGUCUGUCUAAUUGUACUUCUAGAUAUUAUCUUGAUCAAGCGGGUGGCAAAAGAAAGGGUGUGGCCUCAAUUCUGUGCUUGUUUAGAUAAUUCUCAAACUUUAGCUGUAGGGACAAGUCUACCUUCACUUUUCUCACUCUGUAAUGUUAUGUUUAGGUGCCUUUGUUGUCUACCUCGAGUCUUGGCAUGCUGAUAUUAUUGAAUUUCUUGAUUUAAGAAUGAACCAUGGGAAGGUAUAGUAUUGUUUUAUUAUCAGUUGUUUAACAUAUUGUCCAUUCGGCAUGCACUUGCAAUCUGCCUUUUCACUAGAUUGUUGUAUGACAAUACAUGGAUGAUGUUUCCAGUUCUUCUGGAAGAGAUCGAAUCGGCCACGAUAUCUUUUAUUUGCUCUUUGGUUCCAGAUCUUCUCAUGCCAAAAGUCCAAAGCAAUGGGGUAUGACCUUUGUUUUGUCAAAGUGAGGCUCCUGGAUUGGAAGAUUGUUGGGGUGAAGAUUUUGAGAAGUUGUACACUAAAUAUGAAAAAGAGGGAAAGGCAAAGAAGGUCGUUCAUGCAUAAAAUAUCUGGUUUGAGAUCUUUAUAGAAACUGGAACUCCUUACAUGUUGUACAAGGGAAAUGGUGGUGAUCAAAUUUGAAGGAUAUCCACAAGUCAAUUUGAUCUUAUUGAAGUUUUAGAACUAUUGUAAAAGGAUAAAUACAUUAUAAAGUGUACACAUAUAAUUAGAAUAUUAUUUGAUACGUAUGUGUAUGUACACAAGACAUUCUAUCUUUUGAAGUUUAUUGCAAAUUUAUAUAUUUGAAUUA